UCUCCUCUACAUUUACGCGUUUAAAAUAAAUGGAAAAUAAUUAACGGCUCACACUCAAUUUGUGUCGCGGUUCCCAUGGACACAACACACAGAAACGGGCACAACUCACGCAGAACAGCAGACAUAUAUUUACAGGUGCUGCGCCACGGUCAGAGCCUCAUCGAUGUCCAACAUUAGAUCAUCCCGGGUGCAGGUGUUAGGACAGAGGGGGCAAGAGAAUAGGACUAACCAUAAUACAAUACCCUCCAACGAGUCCGGACGGCUUCAACCAAACGGCAAAUACUAGAAGCAUGUGGGUGGAUACAGAUUCAUAAUAUACACGCUUUGAA